rnacentral:rRNA from 1 species
GACGAACCGUGCGAACGUUGUUCGGAAUCACUGGGUACGUUAAAGGGCGCGUGAGGCGGACUAUCAAGUCUGGGGAUGAAAUCCCGGCGGCUCCAACCGUGGAACCUGCCUUAAGAUACUGACCGGUUCUCGAGGGAGGGUAGGGGGCAUGGUGGAACUGUAGGUGGAGCGGUGAAAUGCGUUGAUAUCUACAGGAAUUCCGGUGGCGAAAGCGACGUGCUGGACCUCUCCGACGCUGAGGCGCGAAAGCUAGGGGAGCAAACGGG